ACGGUGAAAGCGGAGCUUGCUCUGCUGGAUCAGUGGCGAACGGGUGAGUAACACGUGAGCAAUCUGCCCCUGACUCUGGGAUAAGCGCUGGAAACGGCGUCUAAUACCGGAUACGAGCUGCGAAGGCAUCUUCAGCAGCUGGAAAGAAUUUCGGUCAGGGAUGAGCUCGCGGCCUAUCAGCUAGUUGGUGAGGUAAUGGCUCACCAAGGCGUCGACGGGUAGCCGGCCUGAGAGGGUGACCGGCCACACUGGGACUGAGACACGGCCCAGACUCCUACGGGAGGCAGCAGUGGGGAAUAUUGCACAAUGGGCGCAAGCCUGAUGCAGCAACGCCGCGUGAGGGACGACGGCCUUCGGGUUGUAAACCUCUUUUAGCAGGGAAGAAGCGAAAGUGACGGUACCUGCAGAAAAAGCGCCGGCUAACUACGUGCCAGCAGCCGCGGUAAUACGUAGGGCGCAAGCGUUAUCCGGAAUUAUUGGGCGUAAAGAGCUCGUAGGCGGUUUGUCGCGUCUGCUGUGAAAACCCGAGGCUCAACCUCGGGCCUGCAGUGGGUACGGGCAGACUAGAGUGCGGUAGGGGAGAUUGGAAUUCCUGGUGUAGCGGUGGAAUGCGCAGAUAUCAGGAGGAACACCGAUGGCGAAGGCAGAUCUCUGGGCCGUAACUGACGCUGANGAGCGAAAGGGUGGGGAGCAAACAGGCUUANAUACCCUGGUAGUCCACCCCGU
rnacentral:rRNA from 1 species